rnacentral:rRNA from 1 species
CCUACGGGAGGCAGCAGUGGGGAAUAUUGGACAAUGGGCGCAAGCCUGAUCCAGCAAUGCCGCGUGAGUGAUGAAGGCCUUCGGGUCGUAAAGCUCUUUUACCAGGGAUGAUAAUGACAGUACCUGGAGA